GAUGAACGCUGGCGGCGUGCUUAACACAUGCAAGUCGAACGGAAAGGCCGAAGCUUGCUUCGGUACUCGAGUGGCGAACGGGUGAGUAACACGUGGGUGAUCUGCCCUGCACUUUGGGAUAAGCCUGGGAAACUGGGUCUAAUACCAGAUAGGACCACGUCUUGGAUGGUGUGGUGGAAAGUUUUUUCGGUGUGGGAUGAGCUCGCGGCCUAUCAGCUUGUUGGUGGGGUAAUGGCCUACCAAGGCGUCGACGGGUAGCCGGCCUGAGAGGGUGUACGGCCACAUUGGGACUGAGAUACGGCCCAGACUCCUACGGGAGGCAGCAGUGGGGAAUAUUGCACAAUGGGCGCAAGCCUGAUGCAGCGACGCCGCGUGGGGGAUGACGGCCUUCGGGUUGUAAACUCCUUUCGCCAGGGACGAAGCGUAAGUGACGGUACCUGGAUAAGAAGCACCGGCUAACUACGUGCCAGCAGCCGCGGUAAUACGUAGGGUGCGAGCGUUGUCCGGAAUUACUGGGCGUAAAGAGCUCGUAGGUGGUUUGUCGCGUCGUUUGUGUAAUACCGCAGCUUAACUGCGGGGUUGCAGGCGAUACGGGCAUAACUUGAGUGCUGUAGGGGAGACUGGAAUUCCUGGUGUAGCGGUGGAAUGCGCAGAUAUCAGGAGGAACACCGAUGGCGAAGGCAGGUCUCUGGGCAGUAACUGACGCUGAGGAGCGAAAGCAUGGGUAGCGAACAGGAUUAGAUACCCUGGUAGUCCAUGCCGUAAACGGUGGGCGCUAGGUGUGAGUCCCUUCCACGGGGUUCGUGCCGUAGCUAACGCAUUAAGCGCCCCGCCUGGGGAGUACGGCCGCAAGGCUAAAACUCAAAGGAAUUGACGGGGGCCCGCACAAGCGGCGGAGCAUGUGGAUUAAUUCGAUGCAACGCGAAGAACCUUACCUGGGCUUGACAUGCACCGGAUCGCUGCAGAGAUGUAGUUUCCCUUGUGGCUGGUGUACAGGUGGUGCAUGGUUGUCGUCAGCUCGUGUCGUGAGAUGUUGGGUUAAGUCCCGCAACGAGCGCAACCCUUGUCUUAUGUUGCCAGCAUUUGGUUGGGGACUCAUGAGAGACUGCCGGGGUUAACUCGGAGGAAGGUGGGGAUGACGUCAAAUCAUCAUGCCCCUUAUGUCCAGGGCUUCACACAUGCUACAAUGGUCGGUACAACGCGCAGCUACUUCGUGAGGAGGCGCUAAUCGCUGAAAGCCGGUCUUAGUUCGGAUUGGGGUCUGCAACUCGACCCCAUGAAGUCGGAGUCGCUAGUAAUCGUAGAUCAGCAACGCUGCGGUGAAUACGUUCCCGGGCCU
rnacentral:rRNA from 1 species